UACGAAGGGGGCUAGCGUUGCUCGGAAUUACUGGGCGUAAAGCGCACGUAGGCGGAUUGUUAAGUCGGGGGUGAAAUCCUGGAGCUCAACUCCAGAACUGCCUUCGAUACUGGCGAUCUAGAGUCCGGGAGAGGUGAGUGGAACUGCGAGUGUAGAGGUGAAAUUCGUAGAUAUUCGCAAGAACACCAGUGGCGAAGGCGGCUCACUGGCCCGGUACUGACGCUGAGGUGCGAAAGCGUGGGGAGCAACAGG
rnacentral:rRNA from 1 species